rfam:Gossypium arboreum cultivar AKA8401 contig_47045_3, whole genome shotgun sequence.
AUCCUAUGAUGAGGACACUUACGAAGUAACUCAUUGAAUCUCUCCCAAGCCUCAUACAAAAUUCGUCAUCCAAUUUUUGGACAGUUGUGAUCUCGUUCCUCAACUU